rnacentral:rRNA from 1 species
GACGAACGCUGGCGGCGUGCUUAACACAUGCAAGUCGAACGGAAAGGCCCUGCUUUUGUGGGGUGCUCGAGUGGCGAACGGGUGAGUAACACGUGAGUAACCUGCCCUUGACUUUGGGAUAACUUCAGGAAACUGGGGCUAAUACCGGAUAGGAGCUCCUGCUGCAUGGUGGGGGUUGGAAAGUUUCGGCGGUUGGGGAUGGACUCGCGGCUUAUCAGCUUGUUGGUGGGGUAGUGGCUUACCAAGGCUUUGACGGGUAGCCGGCCUGAGAGGGUGACCGGCCACAUUGGGACUGAGAUACGGACCAGACUCCUACGGGAGGCAGCAGUGGGGAAUAUUGCACAAUGGGCGGAAGCCUGAUGCAGAAACGCCGCGUGCGGGAUGACGGCCUUCGGGUUGUAAACCGCUUUCGGCUGUGACGAAGCGUGAGUGACGGUAAUGGGUAAAGAAGCACCGGCUAACUACGUG